rnacentral:rRNA from 1 species
UCAGGAUGAACGCUAGCGGGAGGCCUAACACAUGCAAGCCGAGCGGUAUUGUUUCUUCGGAAUGAGAGAGCGGCGUACGGGUGCGGAACACGUGUGCAACUGCCUUUAUCUGGGGGAUAGCCUUUCGAAAGGAAGAUUAAUACUCCAUAAUAUAUUGAACGGCAUCGUUUAAUAUUGAAAGCUCCGGCGGAUAGAGAUGGGCACGCGCAAGAUUAGCUAGUUGGUGAGGUAACGGCUCACCAAGGCGAUGAUCUUUAGGGGGCCUGAGAGGGUGAUCCCCCACACUGGUACUGAGACACGGACCAGACUCCUACGGGAGGCAGCAGUGAGGAAUAUUGGUCAAUGGGUGCAAGCCUGAACCAGCCAUCCCGCGUGAAGGACGACUGCCCUAUGGGUUGUAAACUUCUUUUGUAUAGGGAUAAACCUACCCUCGUGAGGGUAGCUGAAGGUACUAUACGAAUAAGCACCGGCUAACUCCGUG